rnacentral:rRNA from 1 species
GGCGAACGCUGGCGGCGUGCUUAACACAUGCAAGUCGAACGGAAAGGCCCUGCUUUUGUGGGGUGCUCGAGUGGCGAACGGGUGAGUAACACGUGAGUAACCUGCCCUUGACUUUGGGAUAACUUCAGGAAACUGGGGCUAAUACCGGAUAGGAGCUCCUGCUGCAUGGUGGGGGUUGGAAAGUUUCGGCGGUUGGGGAUGGACUCGCGGCUUAUCAGCUUGUUGGUGGGGUAGUGGCUUACCAAGGCUUUGACGGGUAGCCGGCCUGAGAGGGUGACCGGCCAAAUUGGGACUGAGAUACGACCCAGACUCAUACGGGAGGCAGCAGUGGGAAAUAUUGCACAAUGGGCGGAAGCCUGAUGCAGCAACGCAGCGUGCGGGAUGACGGCCUUCGGGUUGUAAACCGCUUUCGCCUGUGACGAAGCGUGAGUGACGGUAAUGGGUAAAGAAGCACCGGCUAACUACGUG